GGGCUGGUAGCUCAGUUGGUAGAGCAGCGGACUUUUAAUCCGUUGGUCGCGGGUUCGAAUCCCGCCCAGCCCACCA
rnacentral:tRNA from 1 species